rnacentral:lncRNA from 1 species
AUUUUUUAUUUUUAAUUUUUUAUUUUUAAUUUUUUUUUGUAACUCUAUUACAAUAAACAAAAUAGAUGAUGACAAAUCAUAUGAAGAAUUAGAUGAAAAAUCAGAUGACAGAUCAGGCUACAAAUUGGAUUACAGAUCAGAUGAAAAAACAGAUUAUAGAUUAGAUUACCAUUCUUCAAUGUUUAAAGAUUAUAAUUCAAAGAGGUUAUACCCUUCUUAUUAUGAUAGAUAUAAUAAAUUUUCAGUUCCCCCCCUGAAUGAUUUAUAUGAUAAUAGUUACAAGCGAGGUUACAGAGAUAAUUAUCGCUUAAGAAGUAAUAAUAUGAGAAAUAAAUAUUCUAGGAGAAGAGGAGGUGGUAGUUAUUAUAGAGUUCCAAGAAAUUAUGAGUAUAAAAUGGGUGUUGAAAGAAGAGCCUAUAAUAAGAUGUAUAAUUAUAAUAAAUUUGACUAUAAAGAAAAAAAGUACAAUGAUUACAACACUUAUAGCGGAAAAUACGAUUAUAUGAAAAAAGAUUAUUAUCCUGAUUCCAAACAUCGUAAUUAUGAAGAUCAAAUGGUCACAGUGAGCAACCACGAGCCAAUUUCAAUUGACUUCGAGUUGUACAAGAAGCAACAGGAAAUGAAAUUAAAAGCCAAGAGACAAUUAGAAAUAGAGGAAAGAAAAAAAAAAAAUAUAAACGACAAUUCAAUAAAUAAUGAAAAAAACAGUAAACAAUUUUUGACUGAUAAAGCACACUCGAGUACUAAACUAAAUUCGAGUACUAAACUAAAUUCGACUAAUAGACUAAAUUCGACUAAUAGACUAAAUUCGACUAAUAGAUUCAAUUCGACUAAUAGACUAAAUUCGACUAAUAGACUCAAUUCGACUAAUAGAUUCAAUUCGACUAAUAGACUAAAUUCGAUUAAUAGACUAAAUUCGAUUAAUAGACUAAAUUCGACUAAUAGACUAAACUCAACUAAUAGACUAAAUUCGAUUAAUAGACUAAAUUCGACUAAUAAACCAAGCUCAACUAAUAAACCAAACUCUAAUAGUAAACCAAAUUCUACUACGAAACCAAAUUUUAGUAGUAAACGUAAUGAUACAAAUGAUGAAGAAAUUAAAACAGAUCAACCGAAAAGAAAAGCAGUAAAUGUAUAUCAAUAUAUUGUUGAUGAAGGAGUGAAGGUUGAUCGAAUACCAGGA